GAUGAACGCUGGCGGCGUUCCUAAUACAUGCAAGUCGAGCGAACAGACGAGGAGCUUGCUCCUCUGACGUUAGCGGCGGACGGGUGAUUAACACGUGGAUAACCUACCUAUAAGACUGGGAUAACUUCGGGAAACCGGAGCUAAUACCGGAUAAUAUAUUUAACCGCAUGGUUCAAUAGUGAAAGACGGUUUUGCUGUCACUUAUUGAUGGAUCCGCGCCGCAUUAGCUAGUUGGUAAGGUAACGGCUUACCAAGGCAACGAUGCGUAGCCGACCUGAGAGGGUGAUCGGCCACACUGGAACUGAGACACGGUCCAGACUCCUACGGGAGGCAGCAGUAGGGAAUCUUCCGCAAAGGGCGAAAGCCUGACGGAGCAACGCCGCGUGAGUGAUGAAGGUCUUCGGAUCGUAAAACUCUGUUAUUAGGGAAGAACAAAUGUGUAAGUAACUAUGCACGUCUUGACGGUACCUAAUCAGAAAGCCACGGCUAACUACGUG
rnacentral:rRNA from 1 species